rnacentral:rRNA from 1 species
AUUGAACGCUGGCGGCAGGCCUAACACAUGCAAGUCGAACGAGUGGCGGACGGGUGAGUAAUGUCUGGGAAACUGCCCGAUAGAGGGGGAUAACUACUGGAAACGGUAGCUAAUACCGCAUACCAUCGGAUGUGCCCAUAUGGGAUUAGCUAGUAGGUGGGGUAACGGCUCACCUAGGCGACGAUCCCUAGCUGGUCUGAGAGGAUGACCAGCCACACUGGAACUGAGACACGGUCCAGACUCCUACGGGAGGCAGCAGUGGGGAAUAUUGCACAAUGGGCGCAAGCCUGAUGCAGCCAUGCCGCGUGUAUGAAGAAGGCCUUCGGGUUGUAAAGUACUUUCAGCGAGGAGGCGUUACUCGCAGAAGAAGCACCGGCUAACUCCGUGCCAGCCGCCGCGGUAAUUC